GAUUAAGUUAUUAAGGGCGCACGGUGGAUGCCUUGGCACUAGAAGCCGAUGAAGGACGUUACUAACGACGAUAUGCUUUGGGGAGCUGUAAGUAAGCUUUGAUCCAGAGAUUUCCGAAUGGGGAAACCCAGCAUGAGUUAUGUCAUGUUAUCGAUAUGUGAAUACAUAGCAUAUCAGAAGGCACACCCGGAGAACUGAAACAUCUUAGUACCCGGAGGAAGAGAAAGAAAAUUCGAUUCCCUUAGUAGCGGCGAGCGAAACGGGAAGAGCCCAAACCAACAAGCUUGCUUGUUGGGGUUGUAGGACACUCUAUACGGAGUUACAAAGGACGACAUUAGACGAAUCAUCUGGAAAGAUGAAUCAAAGAAGGUAAUAAUCCUGUAGUCGAAAAUGUUGUCUCUCUUGAGUGGAUCCUGAGUACGACGGAGCACGUGAAAUUCCGUCGGAAUCUGGGAGGACCAUCUCCUAAGGCUAAAUACUCUCUAGUGACCGAUAGUGAACCAGUACCGUGAGGGAAAGGUGAAAAGCACCCCGGAAGGGGAGUGAAAUAGAACCUGAAACCGUGUGCUUACAAGUAGUCAGAGCCCGUUAAUGGGUGAUGGCGUGCCUUUUGUAGAAUGAACCGGCGAGUUACGAUUUGAUGCAAGGUUAAGCAGUAAAUGUGGAGCCGUAGCGAAAGCGAGUCUGAAUAGGGCGUUUAGUAUUUGGUCGUAGACCCGAAACCAGGUGAUCUACCCUUGGUCAGGUUGAAGUUCAGGUAACACUGAAUGGAGGACCGAACCGACUUACGUUGAAAAGUGAGCGGAUGAACUGAGGGUAGCGGAGAAAUUCCAAUCGAACCUGGAGAUAGCUGGUUCUCUCCGAAAUAGCUUUAGGGCUAGCCUCAAGUGAUGAUUAUUGGAGGUAGAGCACUGUUUGGACGAGGGGCCCCUCUCGGGUUACCGAAUUCAGACAAACUCCGAAUGCCAAUUAAUUUAACUUGGGAGUCAGAACAUGGGUGAUAAGGUCCGUGUUCGAAAGGGAAACAGCCCAGACCACCAGCUAAGGUCCCAAAAUAUAUGUUAAGUGGAAAAGGAUGUGGCGUUGCCCAGACAACUAGGAUGUUGGCUUAGAAGCAGCCAUCAUUUAAAGAGUGCGUAAUAGCUCACUAGUCGAGUGACACUGCGCCGAAAAUGUACCGGGGCUAAACAUAUUACCGAAGCUGUGGAUUGUCCUUUGGACAAUGGUAGGAGAGCGUUCUAAGGGCGUUGAAGCAUGAUCGCAAGGACAUGUGGAGCGCUUAGAAGUGAGAAUGCCGGUGUGAGUAGCGAAAGACGGGUGAGAAUCCCGUCCACCGAUUGACUAAGGUUUCCAGAGGAAGGCUCGUCCGCUCUGGGUUAGUCGGGUCCUAAGCUGAGGCCGACAGGCGUAGGCGAUGGAUAACAGGUUGAUAUUCCUGUACCACCUAUAAUCGUUUUAAUCGAUGGGGGGACGCAGUAGGAUAGGCGAAGCGUGCGAUUGGAUUGCACGUCUAAGCAGUAAGGCUGAGUAUUAGGCAAAUCCGGUACUCGUUAAGGCUGAGCUGUGAUGGGGAGAAGACAUUGUGUCUUCGAGUCGUUGAUUUCACACUGCCGAGAAAAGCCUCUAGAUAGAAAAUAGGUGCCCGUACCGCAAACCGACACAGGUAGUCAAGAUGAGAAUUCUAAGGUGAGCGAGCGAACUCUCGUUAAGGAACUCGGCAAAAUGACCCCGUAACUUCGGGAGAAGGGGUGCUCUUUAGGGUUAACGCCCAGAAGAGCCGCAGUGAAUAGGCCCAAGCGACUGUUUAUCAAAAACACAGGUCUCUGCUAAACCGUAAGGUGAUGUAUAGGGGCUGACGCCUGCCCGGUGCUGGAAGGUUAAGAGGAGUGGUUAGCUUCUGCGAAGCUACGAAUCGAAGCCCCAGUAAACGGCGGCCGUAACUAUAACGGUCCUAAGGUAGCGAAAUUCCUUGUCGGGUAAGUUCCGACCCGCACGAAAGGCGUAACGAUUUGGGCACUGUCUCAACGAGAGACUCGGUGAAAUCAUAGUACCUGUGAAGAUGCAGGUUACCCGCGACAGGACGGAAAGACCCCGUGGAGCUUUACUGUAGCCUGAUAUUGAAAUUCGGCACAGCUUGUACAGGAUAGGUAGGAGCCUUUGAAACGUGAGCGCUAGCUUACGUGGAGGCGCUGGUGGGAUACUACCCUAGCUGUGUUGGCUUUCUAACCCGCACCACUUAUCGUGGUGGGAGACAGUGUCAGGCGGGCAGUUUGACUGGGGCGGUCGCCUCCUAAAAGGUAACGGAGGCGCUCAAAGGUUCCCUCAGAAUGGUUGGAAAUCAUUCAUAGAGUGUAAAGGCAUAAGGGAGCUUGACUGCGAGACCUACAAGUCGAGCAGGGUCGAAAGACGGACUUAGUGAUCCGGUGGUUCCGCAUGGAAGGGCCAUCGCUCAACGGAUAAAAGCUACCCCGGGGAUAACAGGCUUAUCUCCCCCAAGAGUUCACAUCGACGGGGAGGUUUGGCACCUCGAUGUCGGCUCAUCGCAUCCUGGGGCUGUAGUCGGUCCCAAGGGUUGGGCUGUUCGCCCAUUAAAGCGGUACGCGAGCUGGGUUCAGAACGUCGUGAGACAGUUCGGUCCCUAUCCGUCGUGGGAGUAGGAAAUUUGAGAGGAGCUGUCCUUAGUACGAGAGGACCGGGAUGGACAUACCUCUGGUGUACCAGUUGUCGUGCCAACGGCAUAGCUGGGUAGCUAUGUGUGGACGGGAUAAGUGCUGAAAGCAUCUAAGCAUGAAGCCCCCCUCAAGAUGAGAUUUCCCAACUUCGGUUAUAAGAUCCCUCAAAGAUGAUGAGGUUAAUAGGUUCGAGGUGGAAGCAUGGUGACAUGUGGAGCUGACGAAUACUAAUCGAUCGAAGACUUAAUCAA
rnacentral:rRNA from 1 species